ACAAACAGUCUGCGUUAGAUUUUCUAUGCAUGUAACGUUAUAUUUCUGAUUAUAUGGUUCAUUAAUUGUUGUUGAAAGAAGAAUACUUCUAAUGAAAAUCAAGAUAACCCUUUCAGCCCAUGAUUUCUUCUAAAGAGUCCUCUUUUUUUUACUAGCAUGAAUUCAAGGGCCAUGGCUUAGCUUUCUUUAGCUUGCUACUUGGAGCAAAGCUUCAGUCAGUUACGCUUAUGCCUUCCUGCUUUAACUUUAUCAUUAUACUUGAUACCACAUGCUCUGUUGUUUGAAGAGAAAAAGGAGAAGAAGUAAUCAUCAUUUGGCAUUCCCAUGUCAGCUGCAGAUAUUCUUUAUUCAUUUCUUCAUAUUGAGGUAACCAUGAUGAUUCUGUAGUCCUAAUGUCCCGAUGGCUACAACCCAGCAACUUGGAUGCUUGUGGCUACUACACCUACUAUUGAAGAGAAAAUCGGUGAAGAUUUUGCUGAAUUAUACAGAGAAUCUAAUCAAUACAGGUUUCCCAAUUGAGGUCUUGUUUAAACACCAGCAAGAUCUUGCAAAAUACUCUCUUGUUUAUCUACAGAUCAGAGCGUUAAUUUGCAUUAGUGAACCAUUUUUUGUUUUAUUGCCUCAGGGAGGUGGAAGCUUCAAUUAUCCAUUUCAGUAAUCCGCCUGCUGGUUCAGAACCCUUGAAGUUUGCCUCAACAUAUGCUCAAGGCUCGCAGGCUCAGUUUUUUAUUUGCCUUUGGAAACAAAAUCUUGUAUACUGGAGAAGUCCACAAUACAAUGGUGUGAGGCUAUUUUUUACUGUAUUAGCUCAAUUGCUAUUAGGCUCGGUAUUCUGGGAUAUUGGUUCAAAAAGGGACUCAGCUCAAGCUUUAUUUGUGAUUAUGGGAGCACUAUAUUCUUCAUGCAUGUUUCUCGGGGUCAGUAAUGCUUCCACUGUACAGCCAAUAGUUUCAAUUGGGAGAACUGUUUUCUACAGAGAGAAAGCAGCAAUGUACUCUCCAUUAUCCUAUGCAAUGGCCCAGGUGACUGUCAUUGUGCUGAAGAAGCAGCAGCUUCUUUCGGAAAGAGCAGUUGAUGAAAAAAUUUGCAAUUCAAUGUUCAUUUGAUGAGGUUUGUUAUGUACUUUGCUCAAGACCACAUAUUUGUAUCAUAUUCUAUUUUGUUUCGUGGAUAUAUAAUUUGCCUCUUUUCCUCGAUAAGAUAAACAA